CCCAUAGGUCAGCUCAAUUUUCAGCACUGAGUUUGGGGCCAAAGCCUCUGUUAAAAAUCAGUGUCACUUAACUUCCUAUUUUCUAAUUAUUGUCCUGGUUACUUUCUUCACUCAGAGACUUGAAGAAGGUGAAGGCAGGGCAGGUUUGGGCAUAAUAACCUUCAGUGACACCUGGGUUCACCCUGGUUUCUAAUAGUGUUCCCUGAUCCAUCAGGAUAAACAUGCUCAGUGCUUAUUCGAGUGGGCCCCAAAUCUUGCUGAGGCCUUGGUCCCACUCUACUGAGAAAUUUUUAUCAUCAUGAUCAUCAUCAUCAUCACCACUACCAUCAUCAUCGUCUUCAAAUAGUUUCCAUUUACUUUGUGGACCAGGUACUAUCUUAGGUACUUUAUGCACAAUAGGUCAUGGGGUCCUUGAAUAACUGUGCAAAGCAGGUGUUAGCAUCCCUGGAGAAGGACAGGUGAGGAAAUCGAGGCUAAGAGAGGGGCGGUCAAAGUCACACAGAUGCUGACUGUGUGAAUAGAAGGUAAUGCCCAGUGCUUCCAGCUCUUGGUGCAGGACUGUCAGUGGUGCCACCAGAGCAGAAGUGUCACCAUCCCAUGGCUAAUGUGGUCUUGGGCUUUUAGAGAGAAAUUGAGGCAAAGGGUAGGUCUAGUUCACAGGAUCUAAGUUUGUAGAAGUAGCAGGCCUAUUCAAAACCUUGGUCACCAUGAGAACCACCUGCCCUCCCCUCAGGGUACUAUUUCCUGCCUUGAGGGAGCCUCUAGGGUCUGCUAAAUUAAUUGUGUAUGAAAGCAGGAAGGAGCUGGUGGUGUCUGUGGGACCUGUGUGAUCCAGGGCUUACCACCUAGGCUCCUUAGUGGAAGGAGAGGUGGGAUUUGAACUCAGUUCUCUAUGAGCUGCUAUGAGUUUUGUAAUGGUAGUGGUGGCAGUGUGAGAUGGUGUGUGUUGAUUUCACAUGAAUAAGGGCUCUGGGCAAUGCUGGUAUGCAAUGAGUCAGGCUUUUUGCAGAAGACAGAUCAGGGUAGGUUAAACCAGCUGGAGAUGUUACAUUUGCCAAAAGACAUGACAGAGAAGAGAAAUAAAGGGUGGGUUUCAGGAGGGAUGGUGGGUGGUGGCAGAAGUAGCACCUAGCAAACAGCUGUUGGGCACCUGCUCCAUGCCAGACUCUGGGAUGGUCUCUGUGCUGGUUUCCAAGGCCCCAGUUAUGGAGCUGACCUAGGUUUACCCUUGGGGAGCUCAAUCAGGGGGAGAUGGACAUCUUGAAGAACACCAGUUGUGUGCUGUGCUCUCUUAGGAUGUGGAGUUUGCAUUCCUAAGAAAUCUUGUGUUAUAAAAAAUGGAAUUACAGAGACAAUUGCUUCAAUGGAGAAAAUGAGGUUGGGGUUUGAGAGUGUCAGAAUUGCCAUAAAAAAGUUAUUUUUCCUUCAGGAAUGACAAUAAUAAAGAUGCUUUUACAGCGUAAGUGUAUGGCUAUGAAAGAUGAACAUCACAGAGCAAAUCCAGCUUUAGACUUCCUCAUGAAUUUGCUCAAGAGGAACAGCCUUUUUAUCACUAGCUCAGACCUCCAAUCACCUUGACCAUCCUCUGCUAGAGUCACAAAGCAUCGAGUCCCUCUAAGGAGGCAUCCUAAAGACAUCAGGACAUGCCUUCGUCAGUGCCUACCAUCUCCUCCUCUAGUUCCCCUGUAGCAGAUUCCUCUCCUUCAUUGUAUUAUAACUAACUGUGAUCUGCUCAGUAUAAUUGUGCUCUUUAAUUAAAGGAUCACAUUAUAUUUAAUUUGCAUUGAAAAAUCCCACCAUAGGAGAAAUUCCUGGAGGUGUGAGAACAUUAAUGGCAGUAUGUAGAGGUAGUGUUGUGUCACAGUUAAGGGUGGGGCCUCUGGAGCCAGCCUUCCUGAGGUAAAAUCCUAACUUUGCCACUUACUAGCUAUGUGAACUUGGGCAAGUGACCUAAUCCUCUGUGCUUCAUCUUUCAGUUGGGGAGAAUAGAAGCAUCUACUUCAUGUAGUGGCCUGGAUUAGAAGAGGUGAAGAGUUCACAGCCUUCAAGGAAACAAGAAAUCAUGAGAUGGAGUGAAGGAAGGUGGCCUGGAACCAGCUGCUGAGCCUCUCUGAGCCCCAGUUUCCUCAUCUCUAAAAUGGGCCUGAUCUCCUCUCCCUCAGACGGUUGUUGCAGAAAUUAAAUGAGAGAGAGGAAGCCCCGGCUCAGCAGAAUGGAGUCACUUGCCCAGGGACAUCCAACUGAGCUGAUACUCUUUGUCUUCCCUAUGCUGCUUCUCUCUGGGUUUGGUAAAAGUUUUUAUCUUUACAAAAAACAGCUUGGACUUCUAUUCUGGGGUGAAUUUGGGUAAUCGUGACAAUGACAACAGACAAAAUUACCGAUGCUGGGAGCAGAAAGUUGGGUUUGGAGGCCCAAAACAAAAGAAGUGAUUUGACUCUAAACUUUGCCUGGGCCUCCCUGAACAGGAUCACAUACCACAGUGAAACCUCUGACAGUUCCUAUCUCUGCACGUGACUUGUCAGGGGAACUUUUCUCUGAUGCUCACACGAUGUGGGAACUUGUCACAUCUUCAAUCUCUGGGAACAUCCUCACCUGAAAUUGAAAGGUAGAACAAAGGCAGUGAAGGGUGCAAGGAUAUUAGAACUCUGUUCUGUGAGCUUUCAUGAACGCUGUGGAAGGAUCCAGGCAAGAUGGCCUCAAAUUAAGAUUUUAAUGACUCUUUGGUUUAGAAAGCACACUCUUGUUGUUAAUGCUAUCUUAUCAGGUGUCUUUUUUAAUUUACAGAUGAAAGUUUAAAAAAUUCAUAAUUACACAAACACUUGCCUCUGUGUGUUUGCAUGUAUGUGUCUGUUAAGGAAGAAAUGCAUAGUGCCUACAGGAAGUAAGGGCAAAAUAAUUUCAAGGACUGAGAGUUUCUGGAAUUACCUUAUGGUAAAGGCAAUUAUGUGCUGCAUUUUAACAAGGUUAAAAGCAUCCACACCCAAAUACUGACUCAAGGAGACUCUGGGCCCCACAAGACCUUGUGAGUUUCAAAUGUACAUAUAAAUGUUAUACUUUGGGGGUUAAAAUGUUUUAUUUACAAAUGAGCAAAGAAUGAUUGAUCUUGAUGAAAGACAUUUAAACAGAACCCUAGCUGAUAAAAAUUUCUGGCAGUAACCAUCAUUUGGUCAGUGUUUGAUCUUCGGUAAUAGAAGUAAGUUUUGAUGCAGAUGGUGAUGAUGUGGGGUGGUUUUAGAUACAAGCACAUUUUUUUUUUUUGCACUCCUCCUAUCACGACAGAAAUAACAGUAAGUAAAUGCCGUCAGCUUUCUAUGACAUGCAACUUUUCAUCCAAGCAAAAUAUAACAUACCUAGGACCUCAAAGAAAUUUAAUAAUGUUAGUAUUCUUGUGAUUUGUUAGACCUUUUCCACAAACACCUAUAGAAACUAUAUAUGUUUGCCUGGAGAUUUAAGGUAACAGGCUUAUACUCGCAACAAGAUGAAUUUUUAUUAAAUGUUAGGCAGACACAUUGUGCUGAUGCUGGAAACUGUUUCUGAGACAGUAUAUGUAGAAUGUCUUCUAUGGAUAUUUUCAAGACCUCUUUAAAUACCUACAUCUGUUUGUAAAACUUUCAGCAUAGAUCUGUAGGAGGCAGGUGAAUGAACUAUAUGAACUGGGAAGACUGUACCAACUUUGGAUAUCCCCCAAAAAAUGCAGCUGUCUAUUUAAAGUAUACUAAAAUGACACCUUUAAGGAGCAAGGGUGGUGAUGACUGGCGACUAUCAUAGGUUUGGCAGCAACAUUUUUAGACCUACAAACAUGGUUGUGAAGCUGUGUUAUCCCUGUGGGAAACUAUUCUUUUGAAUGCCCUUUUUUUUUAUUCUCCAGUAAAGAAAUACAGGAGCUGUCUUUAAGAUAAAACUAUAAAAAGAACCUUUAAGUUCAACUAUAUGAGGUUCAGGCUGACAUAGAGGUUCAAUAUUUAGUUUGGUUAAUUAAAUCCCAUUCUUUGCCCUGAAUUUAAUUAUUCCAACCAAUGUGGUAACUUAAUAUAAUAAUAAAAAAGAGGUUAAUUAGAAAUAGAAGAGAAUCAGACUAUUUGUUCAUCUGGCUCAGUGGGGGCAUUUCAUGAAGUGUCAGUUUAUGGAUGGCAAUGUUUCACAGAGUAUGAAUUUUCAGUUAGUGAGAAAAUGAAAAUGAAAGACAGUAGAUCAUCAAUGAGUGAUUGUAUCAGGAAAUCACUAAAAAGCUAAUCUGUAAAGUUCAGGGCAUAUUUUAAAGUGACUUCAUGAUAAUAUAGAUAGUUUUUCUUUCCCUAGGUUGAGCUUAAAUCAUAUUCUUAAGACAUAAUGAGUAAUUCCUUGUUUAGACUUUCUAUUCAAAGGUAAGAAAGCCACAUAUUUGCUACUUUUAAACAAAAAUAAAAAGGUGACCUUUCUUUCUUGGCUGUCACUUUCAAUGCAAAUGAUCUGCUUUCUUAAUAUUGCUCAAGUUCUGCAACCUCAAUGUUGAGGUGCUGUGCAGUAGAAUCAGACUUGGACUCAAAUCACAGCUGGAAACUUGCUUGUGGUGUCAAGUUACUAUUCUUAUUGCGCCUCAGUCUUGUCAUCUGUGAAAUGAGGAUAAUGUUGUCUAUACCCCUUGGGUUGCUGAGAAUAAAGUGAGAGAAUGUAGGGAAUACCAUACCAUACCGCCUGCUUGUUACACAAUAGAUGCUCUGCAAAUGGUGGUUCCCUGUCCUCUGAACAAGUCACAAGCCUUCUUAUAAAUGAAUAACAGAUGCUAAUGUAACAACACCAAAGGUAAGGCCAAGUGUUCUGGUUUAGCCACCAGGGCAGUGCUCCUCAAACUUGAAAGUACCAGUGAUUCAUUCACCUGGGAUCUGGUUAAAUGCAGAUUCUACAUUUCUAACAAGCUUCCAGAAGAUGCUGAUACUACUGGUUGGGGACCACCACACUUUUAAUAGCAUGGAACCAGAACAAUGACUUCUGAAUAUCGAACUGACUUUAAGAGACUGGACUAAGUUGUAAAAUAGAAUUUUACUCUGCCUUUUUUUUCCUGGUUUAAUGAUAAAAAUAAUGGGGAAAUCUGAAGAUGGUACAUAUAAAAAGUUUGAAUAAACACAUUUAAAAAUUUGGGAAGUCAGAUCCAUUCUACACACUUUCAUUUAUUGUCUGGACAGAUAAAGUACAAAUAAUUCAAACACAACAAGAUUAUGAAAAAAAAACAGUUACAAUACUUUCCCUUGGAAAUCAUCUAAACUAGCAAGAUUAACAUGAAGUCAUUCAUUAAUAACUAAAGUAUACAACUGCCUGGUCCUAAGAUUUUUUUUCCUUUUUUUUUCCCCCCAAGAUUGAACACGUUAUAGAGAAGAUUUUGGCAUGCCUUUUUCCCACUAAUGCUUAGCAAAUGCGUCAAAACUUUGCCAGCAAACUGCGUUCAUUCAUAGCAGGUGACGUUAAAAGAUUUUCCUGAAUGUUGAACAAGUGUUCUCCAAACUGAAAUCUGGUGUUAUAUAUCCAAAACCAAAAA